rnacentral:tRNA from 1 species
GGGCGCUUAGCUCAGNUGGUUCAGAGCGUCUGCCUUACAAGCAGAGGGUCGGGGGUUCGAAUCCCUCAGCGCCCA